rnacentral:rRNA from 1 species
AUGGUUUCGUGGAGCGAUGACAGCGAUGAAUCGGGCUACGAGUACUCUUCAGGCGGCUCCCCUAUCAAGAUCCCGGCUACAAUCGAGGACCCGAACUACUCUGGUGUUGAUGAUGAGGUGAUGGUGAUGUGUGAGCAUGGCCAGCUGGCGAAGAGGCAUGUUUGCUUCGAAGGGAUUAGCACUGGGAGGAGUUCAUUGCCUAUGGACUUGAUGAAGCAAGCAGUUGUGGUGUUGUUCAUUGGGACAAUAUUCCGAAGGAAAAUGAAGUCCAACAAGGUGAACAUGAGGAGAUCACUCCUCCUUUGGACAACAAUAUUUCAGCUUUGA